rfam:Macleaya cordata isolate BLH2017 scaffold1511, whole genome shotgun sequence.
AUCUGGCUUAGUUAAGAGGCAGAGUGUGAUGGAUUAUUUAUUAUUGAUCUUCUCAGGCCUUUUGAGGGGACUUUUAGCACUUUUCAAUCUGUUGUCCUUCCAGCAGCCUUGGACAUUU